CCUACGGGAGGCAGCAGUGGGGAAUAUUGCGCAAUGGGGGAAACCCUGACGCAGCGACGCCGCGUGGAUGAUGAAGGCCUUUGGGUUGUAAAAUCCUGUUUUGGGGGAAGAAACCUUAAGGGUCCAAUAAACCCUUGAAUUGACGGUACCCCAAGAGAAAGCUCCGGCUAAUUAUGUGCCAGCAGCCGCGGUAAUACAUAAGGAGCAAGCGUUAUCCGGAAUUAUUGGGCGUAAAGAGCUCGUAGGCGGUCUUAAAAGUCAGGUGUGAAAUCAUCAGGCUCAACCUGAUAAGGUCAUCUGAAACUUUAAGACUUGAGGAUAGAAGAGGAAAGUGGAAUUCCCGGUGUAGCGGUGAAAUGCGUAGAUAUCGGGAGGAAUACCAGUGGCGAAGGCGGCUUUCUGGUCUAUUUCUGACGCUGAGGAGCGAAAGCUAGGGGAGCAAACGGGAUUAGAUACCCCGGUAGUCCUAGCUGUAAACGAUGGAUACUAGGUGUGGGAGGUAUCGACCCCUUCUGUGCCGCAGCUAACGCAUUAAGUAUCCCGCCUGGGGAGUACGG
rnacentral:rRNA from 1 species